CUGCAAUGUCAUUGUUCCAUAUGGCAAACAUCCAGCUGCAGAGAUCAGACUUCAGGAGAACUGGAAGAUUUUGAUCAGGGAAGAACCCAGUUAACAACAACUCCAGCUACACUUAAGCCACUACGUGACGCUCCAACUCUGACUGUACUCUGGGGGAUUCUCAGUUAAACCAGGGAUCCAACGGACUGAGGAUGCACAAAAAAAGUCACUGCUUGCUGCCACUUCUGUACACCCCUAUCGUCUACUUAUAUUCUUCAUCUCCAAUCUAUAAUCAUGGGAAACCUCAAGGAACAAGAUUUGAGUUUCUACUGCGUGGAGCCCAGUUCGACUGGCACCCUGUAACUGUCGAUGGAAUGUCUUUCAAGUAACUGCUUAGCAUGUCCAACAGAGCAUGAAAAAGCUUUACCAGUUAAAAUUGAUCUGUAAGGGCUGCAACAUUUCGCAAGUCUUUCAAAGAUAGUUAUACAAAUACAGUCACAUCUAAAGAAAUUCGUUUUAUGCUUUCACAUUUUAUGUUUGACAGUUAGUAUCAGUUUGAAUAUCUGUUACCAUUUCAGCAACUGCUUCUAGCUCAGUAUUGACCUGAAAGUAAACAAGCCUUUGAAGACUAUACCUU